UACGAAGGGGGCUAGCGUUGUUCGGAAUUACUGGGCGUAAAGCGCACGUAGGCGGACUAUUAAGUCAGGGGUGAAAUCCCGGGGCUCAACCCCGGAACUGCCUUUGAUACUGGUAGUCUCGAGUCCGAGAGAGGUGAGUGGAAUUCCGAGUGUAGAGGUGAAAUUCGUAGAUAUUCGGAGGAACACCAGUGGCGAAGGCGGCUCACUGGCUCGGUACUGACGCUGAGGAGCGAAAGCGUGGGGAGCGAACAGG
rnacentral:rRNA from 1 species